AGGAUGGACAUUUCUGCAUGCCCUGAUUAUCUACUAAAUUUUAUCCAUAUCCUAGGAGUAAUAUUUUCUAGUAACUUCAUGUAGCUAAAUUGACAGACAGGAGAUGGUGUAGAGUGCUCAUUCCAGCAGCGCAUAUACCAAAAUUGGAACUACACAGAGAUGUCUAGUAAGGCUAUCCUCUGGUCUUUAGACUUACAAUAAUGGCUCUAAAAUGUCCCUAAAGUAUUUAAAGCACUCAAUGCAUUUCUCCAGUUACUUCCUUUUUUUUUUUUUUUAAGAAAAACUAAGACAAGGAGA